UCCAGACCUUGGGGAAUGUGUGAUUGAAAUGAUGAAUCAAAUGUGGAGAAAAAGCCAAUCUUGGAAAAAGUCUGCAAGUUUGCUGAAGUUUAACCAAAAUGAGAGACACAUCUUCAAAAACACAGUAAAACAGCAAACAGGCACUACUUGCUCUGUCCACGCUGUCUCAAAACACAAGCAAGCCUGUCUGUCCAUUUGCGGAGGGUGUUCACCACAGGUGCUGAUGCGUCAGCAUAUGUGCGAAAGUCCUCCAUGACAUACCCUCCCGAUCCCCGACGGUCAGUCCGACGACCAUGCACUAUUUUCGGACACCUUCUGAGGACAUCCUGCCCACUCUGGAGGAUGGAAACAAGGGCCUAGAAGAAGA